AAAGCAGAAAUGUGGGAAAAGAUGGGCAUGCGCCCGAUUAGUUAGUUGGUGGGGUAAAGGCCUACCAAGACGAUGAUCGGUAGGGGGCCUGAGAGGGUGAUCCCCCACACUGGUACUGAGAUACGGACCAGACUCCUACGGGAGGCAGCAGUGAGGAAUAUUGGUCAAUGGAGGAAACUCUGAACCAGCCACGCCGCGUGCAGGAAGAAUGCCYUAUGGGUUGUAAACUGCUUUUGUUUAGGAAUAAAAAUUUCUACGUGAUAGAAAUUGUGAAGGUACUAAACGAAUAAGUGUCGGCAAACUCCGUGCCAGCAGCCGCGGUAAUACGGAGGACACAAGCGUUAUCCGGAUUUAUUGGGUUUAAAGAGUGCGUAGGCGGUUUAUUAAGUCAGUAGUGAAAUGUUACAGCUUAACUGUUAAAAUGGCUAAUGAUACUGAUAGACUUGAGUGAGAUUGGAGUAAUUGGAAUGUGUGGUGUAGCGGUGAAAUGCAUAGAGAUCACACAGAACACCGAUCGCGAAAGCAGGUUACUAAAUCUAUACUGACGCUGAGGCACGAAAGCGUGGGGAGCAAACAGGAUUAGAUACCCUGGUAGUCCACGCCGUAAACGAUGAUCACUAGUCGUUGGAUUUUAUUAUUCAGUGGCUAAGCGAAAGUGAUAAGUGAUCCACCUGGGGAGUACGAUCGCAAGGUUGAAACUCAAAGGAAUUGACGGGGGCCCGCACAAGCGGUGGAGCAUGUGGUUUAAUUCGAUGAUACGCGAGGAACCUUACCAAGGUUUAAAUGUACUACGAAUAAGCUAGAAAUAGUUUAGUCUUCGGACGGAGUACAAGAUGCUGCAUGGUUGUCGUCAGCUCGUGCCGUGAGGUGUUGGGUUAAGUCCCUCAACGAGCGCAACCCUCAUUGUUAGUUGCCAACGAAUAAUGUCGGGGACUCUAGCAAGACUGCCGACGUAAGUCGAGAGGAAGGUGGGGACGACGUCAAAUCAUCACGGCUCUUAUACCUUGGGCUACACACGUGCUACAAUGGUCGGUACAAAGGGUUGCUA
rnacentral:rRNA from 1 species